UGUAGUGGAAAGAAUACGAGAUUCUGGAAUUAGAAAAACUGGGCAUGAGUCCCAGACUCUGCACUAUCAGCUGUGUGACCUUGGAUAAAUCAGAGGCUCAGAGAGAUUAAAGAAUAUCUCAAAGGCUGCACAACUAGUAAACAGAAGACCUGGGAUUCAAAACCAGGUGUACAGCCAUUUCUCAGCCAUAAAAAAAGAACAAAAUAACGCCAUUUGCAGCAACAUGGAUGGACCUGGAGAUUAUCAUACUGAGUGAAAGAGUAUCUCCAAUAUGAGAGAUGCUGUGCUAGACAUGACCCGGGCCAUACAUCCUAUGGAGGAGUAUCACUUAAUAUUGUCCAGCAGCUCAAGAACCAGGAGGUUGACUAUCAUUGGUGCAGAGGUUGAAUAAGUCAUGCUUCAAGACACCAUAGCCUGAGGCAGCACCAACACCUGUGAACAAGGUGGAGACCAUCUCUGGAAGCUCUGGGUCUUGCCUCUGGAUGGAGGUUUACAUUGCACUAGAAGCGAAGUGCCCAGGGAAUUGUGUUGGCGUCUCAGAUAAAAACCUGUGGGCUGGGAGCUGUCCUUGAAAAAUGCGAUGCUUUCCUCUUUGAAAAGAACAAAAGAAUAAAGGAUGAAUUUUAAUCUCUAUUUUGCCUUACCUUUGCUGCAGUUUGAAAACCCCAAACCUCUGAAGUGUUAAGUAAAUUAACCCAUGUCUGUGCAGCUUCCAUCAGUGAAUGCGAUAGUUUAAGAAUAGUCAUUCUUUGGCGAACAAACUGCUUUUGUCUGUGCCACUCAGUUUAAGGGAAAACUACUUUUGGACUCCUAUCCAAGCUCUUCCUACUCUAAAUGAUUUCUGCUGUCCCUCUAAUUAUCAGCCAGGAUGCUUAUGUGUAAUCACCAGCUUUCAGUAAUUUAAAUAGGUAGUUUUUCAGCCAACUAUUUUUAUUCAGAAUGGGACAAAAGCUAAAAUUGCAUGUUGAAUUUUAUCCAGAAGCUGUCUUCUUUUAGUUCGUGCCAACUGAUGCAGAGCAAUUGUUCAUUUUCUUAUGACAUGUCAGAAGCACAUUUUUACUUUAUGAAUCUAACCAACAAUCCAAUGCGAAGUCUACAAUUUAUGUCUCAGUUCAGUUGCUUACCAGAACCAGCAGGCAGGGCAUUUUAAGAUUUAAUUCAGCGUACCGAAUCGUCAAACGUAACCACACCCAAGCUCUGUUAUUUUUCAGAGACUUUAAAUGUUAGCUUUUCACUGUCCAUUUGAAUUUCAACGAGGAUC